GAUGAACGCUGGCGGCGUGCCUAAUACAUGCAAGUCGAGCGAACGGACGAGAAGCUUGCUUCUCUGAUGUUAGCGGCGGACGGGUGAGUAACACGUGGAUAACCUACCUAUAAGACUGGGAUAACUUCGGGAAACCGGAGCUAAUACCGGAUAAUAUUUUGAACCGCAUGGUUCAAAAGUGAAAGACGGUCUUGCUGUCACUUAUAGAUGGAUCCGCGCUGCAUUAGCUAGUUGGUAAGGUAACGGCUUACCAAGGCAACGAUGCAUAGCCGACCUGAGAGGGUGAUCGGCCACACUGGAACUGAGACACGGUCCAGACUCCUACGGGAGGCAGCAGUAGGGAAUCUUCCGCAAUGGGCGAAAGCCUGACGGAGCAACGCCGCGUGAGUGAUGAAGGUCUUCGGAUCGUAAAACUCUGUUAUUAGGGAAGAACAUAUGUGUAAGUAACUGUGCACAUCUUGACGGUACCUAAUCAGAAAGCCACGGCUAACUACGUGCCAGCAGCCGCGGUAAUACGUAGGUGGCAAGCGUUAUCCGGAAUUAUUGGGCGUAAAGCGCGCGUAGGCGGUUUUUUAAGUCUGAUGUGAAAGCCCACGGCUCAACCGUGGAGGGUCAUUGGAAACUGGAAAACUUGAGUGCAGAAGAGGAAAGUGGAAUUCCCAUGUGUAGCGGUGAAAUGCGCAGAGAUAUGGAGGAACACCAGUGGCGAAGGCGACUUUCUGGUCUGUAACUGACGCUGAUGUGCGAAAGCGUGGGGAUCAAACAGGAUUAGAUGCCCUGGUAGUCCACGCCGUAAACGAUGAGUGCUAAGUGUUAGGGGGUUUCCGCCCCUUAGUGCUGCAGCUAACGCAUUAAGCACUCCGCCUGGGGAGUACGACCGCAAGGUUGAAACUCAAAGGAAUUGACGGGGACCCGCACAAGCGGUGGAGCAUGUGGUUUAAUUCGAAGCAACGCGAAGAACCUUACCAAAUCUUGACAUCCUUUGACAACUCUAGAGAUAGAGCCUUCCCCUUCGGGGGACAAAGUGACAGGUGGUGCAUGGUUGUCGUCAGCUCGUGUCGUGAGAUGUUGGGUUAAGUCCCGCAACGAGCGCAACCCUUAAGCUUAGUUGCCAUCAUUAAGUUGGGCACUCUAAGUUGACUGCCGGUGACAAACCGGAGGAAGGUGGGGAUGACGUCAAAUCAUCAUGCCCCUUAUGAUUUGGGCUACACACGUGCUACAAUGGACAAUACAAAGGGCAGCGAAACCGCGAGGUCAAGCAAAUCCCAUAAAGUUGUUCUCAGUUCGGAUUGUAGUCUGCAACUCGACUACAUGAAGCUGGAAUCGCUAGUAAUCGUAGAUCAGCAUGCUACGGUGAAUACGUUCCCGGGUCU
rnacentral:rRNA from 1 species